rnacentral:lncRNA from 1 species
AAGCCGUGUUUUUUAUUGUCAUGGCAUGAGGUUACGUUUUUCUUCUCUCAAAGAUGCGAUAGGGAAAAAUUUUGUUCCUGUCUCCCUAAAUGAACUUGGAGUUGCGAGGUUAAUCCUAGGUCCUGCUAUAUCAGUGAGGGGCAGCAACUUAUUGCCUGCCUGAGCUCUGCCAGUUGGUGGAGCGGAAGAGGCAUUGAUCUCCAGAGAUUUGGGAAUGCAAUGUAAAUUCCCACUUCUAUUGUUCUUUUGCUCCUGGUGACUUCAGAAGAGCUACCUGUCCAGAACUGCUAUUUUCACUGCUGACAAUACCCCAUGUGCAUCAAUGACAGUAACUUCUCCUGGGAAUCUGCCCCUGAUGCCAGACAGGUCACGGCCUGUUUCCUAGAAGGAGCGGAGUUUCCCAUGCAGAACAGCUGAAGGAUUGCUCAUUACAUCCUGGGAGCUUCUGCCAAAGCUGCUCAGGUGUUGCUUGGCUUGCCAGUUGGGCUGAGCUGUGCUCAUGGUGUGGGGUAGGAACUAAGCAGCUGGGGCUGCAGGGUUAAAUGAGCUUAGGGAAACUAGACUGGCCACCCUUCACUUCGCAAAAGUUAACAAAUGCAGAACAGCAGCCUUCCUGAGGUAAACCCCAAGGUUGUGUAUAAAGUUGCUUUUUAUGGCUGUCAGCCUGUUUCUCAGAACCUGCUGAGACAUCUGCUUUUUUUCUGAAGCCACAAUGAAUUCCAUUCCUACCGCUGCGUCCUCUCUUUGUGUGCUUUUGUCUCUGGCAUGCUAACGAUGCUACUAUUCUAAAUCGUCAGUUGCCCUAACUAAAGGGACAGGAAAGAGUGGGUUAUGCUAGAGAUAACAAUGUCCAUCUGUGACUGCCAUGAUGGAAAUAGUAAAACCUGAGCGGGCAGAGCUUGGCUUCUAGAAAAGAGAGUUUGUGAAAAGAAUCUUACUUCUGUUGACAGUACUGGGCUUUUAUUCUUCUUGUACCACGCUGACCACCUGCUUGAUGUCAGGCCAGCUUCUCCAGCUGCCUCUGAAGAGGUGACUGUACACCUGCAUUUUGCCUGUACCUUAGUGUCAUCUUUCACUGAUCCAUGAAUUUUACUUCUGCCUAACGUAGUUCCGUUUUCCAACUCUGAAAAAUACACAUUCUAAAUGCUUCCAUGCAUCUGCUUCCAUGUUUCUUCCCUGUACUGUCGUCCCAUGUGCUGUUUAAUUGAAAUACCAUUUGCUUUGCAGGUGUGCUAGUAGCUGUCCUCGUUCUUCAGUGGAACAAAAUGUUGCGCUGAACAGGAGGAAAUGCAGGAUAAUUUUAGAAGCUAAGAGGAUGUAUGAUUUUCUGGUUUUCUUUUUUUUGUGUCUGUGUCUAGAUUUUUUUCAGAAGAUGGGCUGAAGUUAGCAGGAAAAUGGGCACUGGGCGAGAAUGUGCAUAUUGAUCAUCAGUGUUUAACGCUCAAAAGGGCUGUUGAGCACAUGAAAGAAUGUGAGUGUGAAUUUCUAACAUCAUGUGUUGAGAGCAACUUUCUGCACAUAGACAGACAGGCCAUGGUUGUCCCCUCUUAGGGACUUUGUGCCAUUUUUUCAUCUGAAUGAGAUGUUACUAUUUCCAAGGCUCUAAUCUCAUGCAGUUCAGCUGAAAAAACAUCAGCCUUCUGCGGAUCUUUCUAUAUAGGCAACCAUGUAAAUGACUCAAUGGUGUGUUGGAAGAAACUCAGUGUGCUGGUUUUCCAGCAUGUUUGGAAGCUCUCUAGUGUGGUGUCAGUGCCUCCUGGCACCCAGCAACUCUGCCUGCGAGAAGGAAGCGUGACCCCCUGAAUGUGCAGAACUAAGGGGUAAAGAGCAGGGCAGCAGCCCAAACUGCUAAUUUGGGUUUCCUUAAGAAAACGGUGGAGUUAGAUUUCCUUGCUAAUUGCAGUUCAGUAGAUCAUUUCUGGAAAACAAUGUGUUUCAACGUGGUAGUCUGAUUAAAAAAGGAAGUGGGGCUUUCCCACUGCUGACUUACAAGAGGAGUUAAGCAGUGCAGGUCACUUCUUGCUGUGUAAGGCCAGGCAGGUUGCAGGCAGACUGGGUGGAAGUGGAGGUGACUGUCCCCACCCUGGACUGCUUGAGCAUCCUGUCAGGACUCACGGAAAAGAUGUGCAACUGUGGGCCUGAUGGAGCACUGUGACCUGUGCUCCACUGGGGAGGAAGAGGGAAGCAUGCCCUCUCAGCUAUUGCAUUGACGUUAAGCUUGAUUUAUAUCAAGCAGCUGGGGAUUUCUGCUAACUGAUUUUUACUUAGGGUGACAUACUGGCACAGUUCUGCUUUCCUUACUGGCAGCACAGAAGAUUAAAAAGUAACUCCAAAGUCUUCUUUGUAUUGUUUGUUUCCUUGCUGCACUCACCAACAGGGAGCCGGUGCUCUUUGUGUCCUGCAGGCAAUGCCAAGAAAACGCACCGAGCUUUGAUGGACACAUUGCAGAGUAUUUUCUCGGACACCUCAGAAGAUAUAGCAGUGAGAAAUGCCUGGAUGUGAGAGAAACUUGGCAUAUUUUCAUGUCUGCCUUGAAUAACCCAUCCUGCUGGGUUGCUCGCCUUUUGCCUACAAGUGGGUGUAGCUCACUGUGGUUUUGCAUGAGGUGAGGUGAUUCCUGUGUGUUCUCACCCAAAAACUCAGUUUAGCACAAAGCUAAGGUAGCAAAACCUGACCCCUCCCACGUCAAGCUUGCGAAGAAUGGAAGUGACUGCUAAGUGAGGGAGAACCACUGGCCUUAGCUGCUCUGUUCCUUGUGAACUUUAUGCUCUCAGAGUCUUCACGCUGUGCUGUGCAGGAUAAAUCUGUGUAAGAAACUUCAUGUUGAAUUUGGGCUGGAGAAAACUCCUUGCUAAGCUCGGUGCUUAAAAGUCAACAUGGAUAUGUUGUUGAGCAUUUAUUUUUGUCAUGUAAGCAACAGUGUGCAGACAGGCUGCCCAUCUAUGGAAAAAUCCCUAUGUUCCCACAGGAAUGGGAGCUACGUUUCUGCCAGACAAAAACGUAUUUUCCUCUGUCCUUUCCACCACAGUGGUAAUGGUCAAUCUAUUCAGUGCAAACAGUGGAGGGGCACAACUAGCCAUAGAAAGCAACAAGCGCACCCCAGUAUCUAGAAAAUAGUUAUGCUGAUUGCAGGGGAAGGAGGGUCAUUUGAAAAGAUCAGGCAUGGAAGUCUCAAAUGGAACAAACAACUGACUUCACUGAUUAGGGCAGAGCUCUGGUUUCCUGAAAGCACUCGUCAGGAUAUUUCCUAUUGUCUUUAAAGUUAACUUUUGGGUGUGGGGUCUCUCUUCCUCAGUCUUUCUUGUAUUCGCUGAAAUAUCAGUAUUUUAAUAGAAGAAAGGAGGUAUUCCUAGUGACUGCACAAUUGCCCCUUCCCCUCAUAGUCUUUUAGGGGGAUAAGUGGUAAAUAAUAGGCAUGCAAUAUUUGCUAUUGUCUUAAUUUGUUUCAUGUGGAUGUUAUGAUGAUUUCUUCAACUUUGACGAGCAACUUUGACGAGUACUCUGAGUGCAUUUACACCACUCCUGGGAGAGUGAAAGUAAACCGAACUCCAUGCCCUUGCUUCAUUUGCAUCUAUCACGUAUAGAAAGGCUGUUUUAAUGGUGUGUGUAUAAUCUAGUCCAUUACAGAAUGGAUAUGGGCAGGUACAGCUUUCAUAUGUCGUGCUGAUAUAUAUUUGUUAAUCAUUCCUCCUGAAACCUGUGGGAGGUAGUUUUCAUCUAUAUUUGGAGCUGACAAACAUUUAUGCUCUUUUGAGGAGAUAUUUAGGUUGGAGUUCUUUCUCACGGAGGAAACGCCUCUGAACAGGCACUCAUGAGAAGUGGGGUUGUUAACGCAGCCGUUGUCCCAAAACACUGUCUGUCUUCGUUGAGAUGUAUGAUUUAGAUGUUUAGAAAUCGUUCUCCUAUUUUGGCAUGCACAUUUAGGGCAUGUAGCAGUGUAUUUAUUUUCAAAACAAAGCAUUUAUAGUCAUCUUCUUACAGUACAAAUAACAAGGCAAAAUGAAAACAGUACUUCAUCAUCUUUGCUGCCAGAAGUUGGCUUCGAAAAAUAGCAUAAAAGCGAAAAAUUGCAACUUUUGCCUUUCCCACUGAAAUGGUGGAGGGAACCUUCAGUGCUAUUAACAAAUGUUUUGUGGGAAGUAUUUCAAGGUUUGAUAGGUCUUUAUUUGGAAGCGUUCUGUAAUGUUUCAAUUUACCUCUAUAAACUACUAUGAAAGCACUUUGUGCUAAAGGAUAGUUUGCAAACAACACGAAGAGUCAGAAUUUUACAUUACCACUUGGCUGCCUUGAUUUGAAGGAAAGCAAUUACAGUGAUUAAUAUGUCCAACAAAACAAACAAGCUGUGCUGAGAUUUCAGCGGUCGUGCAGGAAGAGGUGAGACCCACCAAACCACAGUUUGCCUCGCUCCCUGUGAGCAAUGCUGUUGAUAUAACGACCCAGCUCAGACAGGGAAGGAUUUCUAGUGGCUGCCACUGAUUUCCUACAGGAGGGCACUGUGGAAGGAAGGAGAGGUGGUACGCAUGGGGAAAGAUCAAAGUGCUUUCAGAGAUCUGCAGUAGUAUCGCAUUCUUCUUUCGAUUACGUGAGUGCAGCUGAAGACCUGGAGCAGCAGUGAUGAGGUGCAUGCACUGCAGCUACUCCCUUCCCUAUUCUCAUAGGAAGCUCAUGCGUUGAGGGAAGAAGUUCCCAGAGCUUUCUGUGCUGGUGAAAGAGGCAGCUGUGCUAAUUCUGAUACCGAGUAUUCUCUUACAAACUGAGAUGCUGCAAAACUCCUCAGAAGAGCAGAAAAGGAAGACUUACACCUCUGUCUGACACAGUUAAAAUCUCUCCCUGUGCACUUAUCAGCUUGCAUAUCUCUGUGAAACUCUGUGCUUCAGCGAGGGCUACAUCACUAGGCAACUACUGCAAAGAAACAUGAGUUCUACAGGAUUUCAGGGAAGAAUUCUUCCUCUACUUUUGUUCACUUCUGAGUUUGUUUCUUGGCACCCUCUUCCUUAAUGUGAGGUCAGCCAGAGUACUUUCACAGUUUUUCCUGUCUGUUUUGUCGUUUGUUUCUGUUUCGCAGGCUUACAGCUCCGAAGUCUUUCCAAGAGAGAAGAGAAACCAAACUGGAAGAUGAGAGCAUUGCACAGGCACCAAAUGCUGUUUCUGUUCAACCUUUGUUUCAUCGAGAAAAGUGGGUGUCUAAAAUCAAAGCACGCAUUACUUCCCAUCACUUACUUGUAAUCUGAGACUAGUGUUUUAGUGGAGUCUGCUGCCAGACUACAGAGAAAAGGAAACUUAGUGGAUCACCAGGUUUUUCAGCCUCUGAGAAAGAUAACCAACCAAGCACCAAGAGACAGGAUAGAAGCAUGAAGGUGGUAAUUAACCACAUAGCUGAUUUUGGACUGUUACCAUGCUACCAGAAAAACAUGCUGGGAGAAGCCAUCAUCCACCGUGAAUGAGUUUUCUUGUAUAUGGAAUCCACUUGUUUAUGAGACUCACUUUAAACAAUAACAGAAUCACAAAAUCACAGAGUUGUAGGAGUUGGAAAGGACCUCUAGAAAUCAUCGAGUCCAACCUCUUCUGCUAAAGGAGUUCCCUGCAGCAGGUCACACAGGAAAGUGUCCAGGUCGGUUUUGAAUAUCUCCAGAGAAGGAGACUCCACAACAUCUCUGGGCAGCCUGCUCCAAUGCUCUGCCACCCUCACAAUAAAGAAGUUCUUCCUCAUGCUUUCUUUGUCUAUUUUCAGGUCUUAUCUCUAUAUGAACACUGAUAGCAGAUAAAUCAAGACAACAGCUUCCUUCAUUUUUAGGAGUUUUGUUAAAAUUGACUUUCUCCCUCUGACAUGAAUAUCAGUUUAUAUCUCAAUCAAAUCUGGAAUUGUAGUUUAGAGAGAAAAUACAUAAAAUAUGCGUAGAAGAUUUUCCUAUGUCAUCCCUCUCACAGACACUUUCUGUUACUUUUAGAUUUAUUUCAGAUUAUUGUUUACUUCGCAAUCAUUAAUAAUUUACAGAAGUAAAGGCUUUUGUUUGUUAGUGAUUUGUCAUAACUGGAAUAAUGAAAAUAAUUAUAUAUAUCUCCAGUUCUUCAGUUUUGUAAAGUUCUGCUAAACUCAAGUGUUCAAGCUGUAAUAUAUCUCUUCUACUUUGGGUCUUACCAUUGAAUGACCUGACCUUUUAAUAAAGAUUUUUGUUUCCUAUGGUGCUUGAUUUCUUUGGCUAAGUAAUAAAAAGUAUGUGACACUUAAGAGCUUCCUACUUCCCUACUCUCUCUUAUAGUAGAGUGCUUAUGUAAUGAAGAGUGAUUGCUUGCAAGUCCAGAGAAAGAAAUCCUAAGCAUAUCUGUAUCUUCCAGUUGAUGGGUAUUAAAAAAAAAAAAAAAAAAAAUAACCAAACUGCCUGUCAGCCUUGGGAAGAUAAAGAGGACAGAGCAGUGUGAAUGAAUUCAUCAGCAACAAAUGACAGCAAACUUGUCUGAUUUCCCUCUGUGACCAAGUAACAGACAUUAUGAAGAGUCAAGCAGCCGUAUCUAUCUGUCUGUCUGUGGUAUAUCUUGACUUCUGUGGUAUUUUUGAGGCUGCCUUUGACAAUUGUUACCUAGAUGUAUUUUGAUAACAUGCUAUAGUUGAAUGCACAGUAGUUGCAAAAUUCUAAAUAAUUAGACCAGAACAAAGUAAAAAUGAAAGGCUGUGCUAUUGGAGGUUAUAUAUUGAAUUGUUCCAAGUCGGGUUUUGAAUUUUUUUUUUUAACUAAUGACUCAGUUGAAGGAAAAGAAAAUAUCUAUUAAAUUUACAGACAUUAGAAAGCUGGCAGAAGUUAUAUAGGCACUAAAGGACAGGUUUUGACUUCUGUAUGAUCUUGAUAAAUUAGGUGUUUUAUAGAAAGACAGGUGAUAGUUCAAGAAGACAAGUGCUAAAUACUAAACUUUUAUAGCAAAGUGAUUGGUAAUGCAAAGACUGAAUAAGAACAACAGCAGUAUAAUUAAUCCCCUUGACAUCAGAUGAAGAUUAGUUGCAUAGGUUGUUGGAAGGGAAAAUGUCUUAUCACUGUUACUGCUUGUUCUAAAAAAAUGAUUGUUUUGCACUGGUCAUUGUAACAUAGAGUAACACUCAGCAGCAGACCCUCUCAGAGAGAACUGGGUUCUACUGUCUGCGCAGAAAGGCUGAGGUUACCUUAACUGGAGACUGGAAUCACUUAUGCAUGUUCUUGUGUUGAUAUCACAAGAAAUUUCCCUCCUUAUGAUUUCUUGCACUGCCACCGGUUAAGUUGUAAGGAGCUAAUUCUACUGCUGUCAAAGGAUUUCCU